rnacentral:rRNA from 1 species
ACGGAAGGCAGCAGUGAGGAAUAUUGGUCAAUGGACGGAAGUCUGAACCAGCCAAGUCGCGUGAAGGAAGACGGUUCUAUGGAUUGUAAACUUCUUUUGUCCGAGGGUAAAGUGAGAGAUGCGUCUCUUAUUGCAAGUAUCGGACGAAUAAGCAUCGGCUAACUCCGUGCCAGCAGCCGCGGUAAUACGGAGGAUGCGAGCGUUAUCCGGAUUUAUUGGGUUUAAAGGGAGCGUAGGCCGUGCUUUAAGCGUGUUGUGAAAUGUAGGCGCCCAACGUCUGCACUGCAGCGCGAACUGGAGCACUUGAGUACGCAGGAAGUAGGCGGAAUUCGUCGUGUAGCGGUGAAAUGCUUAGAUAUGACGAAGAACUCCGAUUGGGAAGCCAGCUUACUGUAGCGCCACUGACGCUGAUGCUCGAAAGCGUGGGUAUCGAACAGGAUUAGAUACCCUGGUA